rnacentral:rRNA from 1 species
GUAACACAUGAAGAACGUACCCUCCAGUUCGGGAUAACCCCGCGAAAGCGGGGCUAAUACCGGAUGCCGCCGUGGUGACGCCUGUCGCUGCGGUGAAAGUCGUAAGACGCUGGAGUGAGCGCUUCAUGGCCUAUCAGCUAGUUGGCGGGGUAAUGGCCCACCAAGGCUUUGACGGGUAGCCGGACUGAGAGGUCGACCGGCCACACGGGGACUGAGACACGGCCCCGACAUCUACGGAUGGCAGCAGUAGGGAAUAUUGCGCAAUGGGCGAAAGCCUGACGCAGCGACGCCGCGUGGGGGAUGAAGGCCUUCGGGUUGUAAACCCCUUUCAUGUGGGAAGAAAACUGACUUAACCACAGGAAGAAGCACCGGCUAACUCCGUGCCAGCAGCUGCGGUAAGACGGAGAGUGCAAACGUUGUUCGGAUUUACUGGGCGUAGAGGGCACGUAGGCGGCCAGGCAACUCAGUUGUGGAAUCCCAACGCCUACCGUUGGAACGGCAAUUGAAAAUACCUGGCUCGAGGGCUGAAGGGGUCGCAGGAACUCUUGGUGGAGCGGUGAAAUGCGUAGAUAUCAAGAGGAACGCCGGAGGCGAAAGCGUGCGACUGGUCAGUUCCUGACGCUGAGGUGCGAAAGCUAGGGGAGCAAACAGGAUUAGAUACCCUGGUAGUC